rnacentral:rRNA from 1 species
GACGAACGCUGGCGGCGUGCUUAAUACAUGCAAGUCAACUGAACUUAAGGUAGCAAUAUUUUAAGGAGGUGGCGCACGGGUGAGUAACACGUAGGUAAUCUGCCUUUAGGUCUGACACAACCUACCGAAAGGUAGGCUAAUAUCAGAUGAUGCAGCGGCUCGACAUCGAGACAGUUGUUAAACCUUCGGGGCCUAAAGAUGAGCCUGCGUCUGAUUAGGUAGUUGGCGGAGUAAUAGCCCACCAAGCCUGCGAUCAGUAGCUGGUCUGAGAGGAUGAUCAGCCACACUGGAACUGAGACACGGUCCAGACUCCUACGGGAGGCAGCAGUAAGGAAUAUUGCUCAAUGGCCGAAAGGCUGAAGCAGCAACGCCGCGUGGA